AACGUGUUUCAUGAUUCACUCUUUCAUAUUCAGCCAUUAUGUCUGUUUCCUAAAUUUACAUUAUGUACUGAAGUACAUAUCUAAUGAACCUCCCGUGCUUUUUUUUUUCCUCGCUAAAUGAACCCCCUUUGAGAGUAUUCAAUUUUAUUAUUGUGAUGUUACAUGCUUGUGAACCAUGUACUGUAUUUAAUGUAAGAUAUAUAGUAUGGAGCCGUGAUUUUUUUUCUUUCUCAAAUAUGGAGUUUUACUUUGUUUGCAAGCAUAUGUUCCUGGGAUUCUGUUACAUUUUGGAUCACAGCUUAUGAGAACAUUCCUUUUCUUUUAAUUCUUUUGAAGGAACUGGCACCUGAAUCAGACCAAGCUCAACAAACUGCCCAAGACACUGGAGAGAUUUUUACAGAUUCGGGUGCUUCACAGGAGGGCAGAAGUGCAGAAAAAGGGAAAGAAAAGGAAUAAAAGGAUAAGGAGAAGAGUAAAGACCCUGGAAAAGAGAAAGGGAAAGAAAAAAAUGCUGAUAAGAAAGGAGACACUGAAAAAGAUAAAUUAAAAAGUAUUGAAGGGACAAAUUUAGAUGCCUUAUUGCAGAGGCUUCCAGGUUUUGUGAGCCGUGAUCUUAUAGAUCAAUUGACAGUAGAUUUGUUACUUGAAUUCAAAAGCAAGUCGAAAAAAGCUUGUGAGGGCAUUGUUUAAUGUUCCAAGGACUUCAUUGGAACUGCUAUCAUACUAUCCACGCAUGGUUGCCACAUUAUCAACAUGCAUGAAAGAUGUUUCUUCCAUGCUCCUACAAAUGCUAGAAGAGGAGUUUCAUUUCUUAAUUAAUAAAAA